AGUGAACGCUGGCGAUAGGCCUAACACAUGCCAGUCGAGCGGCAGCACAGUAAGAGCUUGCUCUUACGGGUGGCGAGUGGCGGACGGGUGAGGAAUACAUCGGAAUCUACUUUUUCGUGGGGGAUAACGUAGGGAAACUUACGCUAAUACCGCAUACGACCUACGGGUGAAAGCAGGGGAUCUUCGGACCUUGCGCGAUUGAAUGAGCCGAUGUCGGAUUAGCUAGUUGGCGGGGUAAAGGCCCACCAAGGCGACGAUCCGUAGCUGGUCUGAGAGGAUGAUCAGCCACACUGGAACUGAGACACGGUCCAGACUCCUACGGGAGGCAGCAGUGGGGAAUAUUGGACAAUGGGCGCAAGCCUGAUCCAGCCAUACCGCGUGGGUGAAGAAGGCCUUCGGGUUGUAAAGCCCUUUUGUUGGGAAAGAAAAGCAGCAGGUUAAUACCCCGCUGUUCUGACGGUACCCAAAGAAUAAGCACCGGCUAACUUCGUG
rnacentral:rRNA from 1 species